rnacentral:rRNA from 1 species
CCCUUAGAUGUUCUGGGCCGCGCGCGUGCUACACUGAGUGGAUCAGCGGGUCAGGUUACGCGAGAGCGUUUCCUAAUCUUCAAAUCCGCUCGUGAUGGGGAUUGACGGUUGCAAUUUUCCGUCAUGAACGAGGAAUACCUUGUAAGCGCGGGUCAUCAUCCCGCGCUGAAUACGUCCCUGCCCUUUGUACACACCGCCCGUCGCUCCUACCGAUUGAGUGGUCCGGUGAAGCCUCGGGAUUGUGGUUCUUGCCGCUUUAUUGUGGCGUGACCGCGAGAACUUGUCUAAACCUUAUCAUCUAGAGGAAGGUGAAGUCGUAACA